rnacentral:rRNA from 1 species
AGAGUUUGAUCAUGGCUCAAAACGUACGCUGGCGGCACGCCUAACACAUGCAAGUCGAACGCAGUAGCAAUACUGAGUGGCAGACGGGUGAGUAACAUGUGGGAAUCUGCCUUGUGGUUCAGGACAACAUUGGGAAACCGAUGCUAAUACUGGAUAAGCCCUUACGGGGAAAGUUUUAAUGCCAUAAGAUGAGCCCGCAUUUGAUUAGUUAGUUGGUGAGGUAAUGGCUACCAAGACAAUGAUCAAUAGCUGAUCUGAGAGGAUGAUCAGCCACACUGGGACUGAGACACGGCCCAGACUCCUACGGGAGGCAGCAGUGGGGAAUCUUGCACAAUGGAGGAAACUCUGAUGCAGCGAUGCCGCGUGAGUGAAGAAGGCCUUUGGGUUGUAAAGCUCUUUUGUAGGGGAAGAUAAUGACUGUACCCUAAGAAUAAGGUCCGGCUAACUUCGUGCCAGCAGCCGCGGUAAUACGAAGGGACCUAGCGUAGUUCGGAAUUACUGGGCGUAAAGCGCGCGUAGGCCGUUGAGUUAGUUAAUUGUGAAAUCCCAAAGCUUAACUUUGGAACUGCAAUUAAAACUGCUCGACUAGAGUUUGAUAGAGGAAAGCGGAAUACAUA